rnacentral:rRNA from 1 species
GACGAAGGGGGCUAGCGUUGCUCGGAAUCACUGGGCGUAAAGGGUGCGUAGGCGGGUCUUUAAGUCAGGGGUGAAAUCCUGGAGCUCAACUCCAGAACUGCCUUUGAUACUGAGGAUCUUGAGUUCGGGAGAGGUGAGUGGAACUGCGAGUGUAGAGGUGAAAUUCGUAGAUAUUCGCAAGAACACCAGUGGCGAAGGCGGCUCACUGGCUCGGUACUGACGCUGAGGUGCGAAAGCGUGGGGAGCAAACAGGG